rnacentral:lncRNA from 1 species
GUGUUUAGUAGAAAGACAAUCCUUUUUUCUUCCAGUCAAUUUUUUCUUUGAUCUACAGAACUUGCUUCUUUUCUCUGAAGUUUUCACAAUACAGCAUGAUAGAAGGAGCACAGAGUGCCAGAGGCAGGGAAUUCCUAUGCUUCACUAGUGACUCAUAAGAAAACUUAAUAGAAGGUCUCUACUGCCUGCUGGCCCUGCAGUACCUGAUUGAUGUGGUCCCAAACUAAAGUAGGCUAACCUUCAUUGAACCAAGCACUUCAGAGCCAUGGGAAGAAGUAUGGGGGAAGGAGUCCUUGUACUCUGGCAAUGAGGAAAACAAACAUUAACAGUGCAAGACACAGUGAGAGUCACAGAUCCAUGGAUGGACGAUCCUUUUGAGGACAAUAGAGGGGGAAUUUGGAUAAGUUUCCUGAGUGAGAAACCUUCCAGAUGGCAAUCUGAAAGUUAGCUGUUCCUUCUCAAAACACAGAGCUUUCUCAAGAGAAAGAUAACACCCUCUUUCAUCAGAGCGAGCGAGCUUUCUUCAUGGUGGCAAUUUCCAGUCUCCAGUGCAAGGAGGGGAAACUGAAGGAGAAUAAGGCGGUUACAUUCAGUUAGAGCCUGAGAGCAGAAUUUGGUUAGGCUGAAGCAGCUGGAAACUGUGGAAUGUAAUACCAGAGAGGAGACUGCCACACAAAGAACUCUAAAAAUUUUGAUUUUCAGCAAACCUUCAGAAGGCAAAAGGGAAAGUUUUCCCAUGGGCCAACGUGGAUAUGUUUCUGUAAUAGUCUGCUCAGCCUUCUACAACAAGAUGUCGCAGACUGGGUGACUUAAACCAGGGAUCCUCAAACCCUGGCAAUGGAUCGGUACGGGUCAGUGGCCUGUUAGGAAUCAGGCCACGUAGCAGGAGCUCAUUCUAGGGGAAACCAGCUGCCAUAUUAAGAAAACAGUCCUAUGGAAAGGGCCAUGGAACAAAGAAGUGACUUCUGCCAACAACCUCAUGAGUGAACCUAGAAGUGGCUCAUCUAGUCCUGGUCAAAUCUUAUGGACUGUGGCUCCAACUGAUAGUGUGACUGUAACUUCAUAAGAGACGCUGAACCAGACCACCCAAUAAGACACUCCCAGAUUCCCUACUCUCAAAAGUUGUGUGAAAUAAUCACCCCCAGUUGUAUUAAACUGCUAAGUUUUGGGGUAGUGUGUUACACAGCAAUAAAUCAUAAAUACAACAUCCAAGCAAUAAAUUUCUAUGAUAAAUACA